UACGUAGGGUGCAAGCGUUGUCCGGAAUGAUUGGGCGUAAAGCGUCCGCAGGUGGCUGUGUAAGUCUGCUGUCAAAGAGCAAAGCUCAACUUUGUAAAGGCAGUGGAAACUACACGGCUAGAGUGCGUUCGGGGCAGAGGGAAUUCCUGGUGUAGCGGUGAAAUGCGUAGAGAUCAGGAAGAACACCGGUGGCGAAGGCGCUCUGCUAGGCCGCAACUGACACUGAGGGACGAAAGCUAGGGGAGCGAAUGGG
rnacentral:rRNA from 1 species